UGGGGAAUUUUGGACAAUGGGGGCAACCCUGAUCCAGCCAUCCCGCGUGUGCGAUGAAGGCCUUCGGGUUGUAAAGCACUUUUGGCAGGGAAGAAACGGCGCUGGUUAAUACCUGGCGCACCUGACGGUACCUGCAGAAUAAGCACCGGCUAACUACGUGCCAGCAGCCGCGGUAAUACGUAGGGUGCAAGCGUUAAUCGGAAUUACUGGGCGUAAAGCGUGCGCAGGCGGUUCGGCAAGAAGGAUGUGAAAUCCCAGGGCUUAACCUUGGAACUGCAUUCUUAACUGCCGGGCUAGAGUAUGUCAGAGGGGGGUAGAAUUCCACGUGUAGCAGUGAAAUGCGUAGAGAUGUGGAGGAAUACCGAUGGCGAAGGCAGCCCCCUGGGAUAAUACUGACGCUCAUGCACGAAAGCGUGGGGAGCAAACAGG
rnacentral:rRNA from 1 species